UACGGAGGAUGCGAGCGUUAUCCGGAUUUAUUGGGUUUAAAGGGUGCGCAGGCGGAUUUUUAAGUCAGCGGUCAGAUCGUGGGGCUCAACCCCAUCCAGCCGUUGAAACUGGGGAUCUAGAGUGUGCGAGAGGUAUGCGGAAUGCGUGGUGUAGCGGUGAAAUGCAUAGAUAUCACGCAGAACCCCGAUUGCGAAGGCAGCAUACCGGUGCACAACUGACGCUCAGGCACGAGAGCGUGGGUAUCGAACAGG
rnacentral:rRNA from 1 species